rnacentral:rRNA from 1 species
AUACGUAGGGAGCAAGCGUUAUCCGGAUUUACUGGGUGUAAAGGGCGCGUAGGCGGGACUGCAAGUCAGGUGUGAAAUCUGGUGGCUCAACCACCAAACUGCACUUGAAACUGUGGUUCUUGAGUGAUGGAGAGGCAAGUGGAACUCCUAGUGUAGCGGUGAAAUGCGUAGAUAUUAGGAGGAACACCAGUAGCGAAGGCGGCUUUCUGGACUGUAACUGACACUGAGGCACGAAAGCGUGGGGAGC